rnacentral:rRNA from 1 species
UAGCAUAGGUAUGCUUAGGGAGGAGCUUGCGUCACAUUAGUUAGUUGGUGGGGUAAAGGCCUACCAAGACUAUGAUGUGUAGCCGGGCUGAGAGGUUGAACGGCCACAUUGGGACUAGACACGGCCCAAACUCCUACGGGAGGCAGCAGUAGGGAAUUUUCGGCAAUGGAGGAAACUCUGACCGAGCAACGCCGCGUGAACGAUGAAGUAUUUCGGUACGUAAAGUUCUUUUAUUAGGGAAGAAUAAAUGAUGGAAAAAUCAUUCUGACGGUACCUAAUGAAUAAGCCCCGGCUAACUAUGUGCCAGCAGCCGCGGUAAUACAUAGGGGGCAAGCGUUAUCCGGAAUUAUUGGGCGUAAAGGGUGCGUAGGCGGUUAAAUAAGUUUAUGGUCUAAGUGCAAUGCUCAACAUUGUGAUGUAUAAAAACUGUUUAGCUAGAGUAAGAUAGAGGCAAGUGGAAUUCCAUGUGUAGUGGUAAAAUGCGUAAAUAUAUGGAGGAACACCAGUAGCGAAGGCGGCUUGCUGGGUCUUUACUGACGCUGAGGCACGAAAGCGUGGGGAGCAAACAGGAUUAGAUACCCUGGUAGUCCACGCCGUAAACGAUGAGUACUAAACGUUGGGUAAAACCAGUGUUGAAGUUAACACAUUAAGUACUCCGCCUGAGUAGUACGUACGCAAGUAUGAAACUUAAAGGAAUUGACGGGACUCCGCACAAGCGGUGGAUCAUGUUGUUUAAUUCGAAGGUACCCGAAAAACCUCACCAGGUCUUGACAUGCUUCUGCAAAGCUGUAGAAACACAGUGGAGGUUAUCAGUUGCACAGGUGGUGCAUGGUUGUCGUCAGCUCGUGUCGUGAGAUGUGGGUUAAGUCCCGCAACGAGCGCAACCCUUAUUGUUAGUUACCAGCACGUAAUGGUGGGGACUUUAGCAAGACUGCCAGUGAUAAAUUGGAGGAAGGUGGGGACGACGUCAAAUCAUCAUGCCCCUUAUGACCUGGGCUACAAACGUGAUACAAUGGCUGUUACAAAGGGUAGCUGAAGCGCAAGUUUUUGGCGAAUCUCAAAAAAACAGUCUCAGUUCGGAUUGAAGUCUGCAACUCGACUUCAUG